CCUACGGGUGGCAGCAGUGGGGAAUAUUGGACAAUGGGGGCAACCCUGAUCCAGCCAUGCCGCGUGUGUGAAGAAGGCCCUCGGGUUGUAAAGCACUUUCAGUGAGGAAGAACGCCUGGUGGUUAAUACCCAUCAGGAAAGACAUCACUCACAGAAGAAGCACCGGCUAACUCCGUGCCAGCAGCCGCGGUAAUACGGAGGGUGUGAGCGUUAAUCGGAAUUACUGGGCGUAAAGCGCGCGUAGGUGGCUUGAUAAGCCGGUUGUGAAAGCCCCGGGCUCAACCUGGGAACGGCAUCCGGAACUGUCAAGCUAGAGUGCAGGAGAGGAAGGUAGAAUUCCCGGUGUAGCGGUGAAAUGCGUAGAGAUCGGGAGGAAUACCAGUGGCGAAGGCGGCCUUCUGGACUGACACUGACACUGAGGUGCGAAAGCGUGGGUAGCAAACAGGAUUAGAUACCCUGGUAGUC
rnacentral:rRNA from 1 species